rnacentral:rRNA from 1 species
UACGUAGGGUGCAAGCGUUAUCCGGAAUUAUUGGGCGUAAAGAGCGUGUAGGCGGCCAUGCAGGUCAGCUGUGAAAACUCGAGGCUCAACCUCGAGACGUCGGUUGAAACCGUAUGGCUAGAGUCCGGAAGAGGAGAGUGGAAUUCCCGGUGUAGCGGUGAAAUGCGCAGAUAUCGGGAAGAACACCUAUGGCGAAGGCAGCUCUCUGGGACGGUACUGACGCUGAGACGCGAAAGCGUGGGGAGCAAACAGG